rnacentral:rRNA from 1 species
CCCACUGCUAUCGGGAUAGGACUAAGACAUGCUAGUCAAGCGCUUUCUAGCUAAUAUGAAAGUGCGGCAUACAGCUCAGUAACACGUGGCUAACCUGCCCUUGGGACGGAGACAACCCCGGGAAACUGGGGUUAAUUUCCGAUAGGUGAAAAAUUCUGGAAUGAAUUUUCGCCCAAAAGACAUCUAUGUUAUGCUCAUAUUUGUUGCCCAGGGAUGGGGCCGCGACCGAUCAGGUUGUUGGUGAGGUAAUGGCUCACCAAGCCUUUUACCGGUACGGGCCGUGAGAGCGGGAGCCCGGAGAUGGGCACUGAGACAAGGGCCCAGGCCCUACGGGGCGCAGCAGUCGCGAAAACUUUGCAAUACACGAAAGUGUGACAAGGCUACCCCGAGUGCCGUCCGCUGAGGAUGGCUUUUCCCCGGUGUAAUGAGCCGGGGGAAUAAGGAGAGGGCAAGUCUGGUGUCAGCCGCCGCGGUAAUACCAGCUCUCCGAGUGGUAGGGACGAUUAUUGGGCUUAAAGCGUCCGUAGCCGGCUUAGCAAGUCUCCUGUUAAAUUCAGCGACCUAAUCGUUGAGCCGCGGGAGAUACUACUAGGCUAGGAGGCGGGAGAGGCCGACGGUAUUCUCGGGGUAGGGGUGAAAUCCUAUAAUCCCGGGAGGACCACCAGUGGCGAAGGCUGUCGGCUAGAACGCGCCUGACGGUGAGGGACGAAAGCUGGGGGAGCGAACCGGAUUAGAUACCCGGGUAGUCCCAGCUGUAAACGAU